AGUGGCGAACGGGUGAGUAAAGUAUCGGAACGUGCCCAGUCGUGGGGGAUAACGUAGCGAAAGUUACGCUAAUACCGCAUACGAUCUAUGGAUGAAAGCGGGGGAUCGCAAGACCUCGCGCGAUUGGAGCGGCCGAUAUCAGAUUAGGUAGUUGGUGGGGUAAAGGCUCACCAAGCCGACGAUCUGUAGCUGGUCUGAGAGGACGACCAGCCACACUGGGACUGAGACACGGCCCACACUCCUACGGGAGGCAGCAGUGGGGAAUUUUGGACAAUGGGCGCAAGCCUGAUCCAGCCAUGCCGCGUGCAGGAUGAAGGCCUUCGGGUUGUAAACUGCUUUUGUACGGAACGAAAAGGUUUGGCCUAAUAAGCUGAGCUCAUGACGGUACCGUAAGAAUAAGCACCGGCUAACUACGUGCCAGCAGCCGCGGUAAUACGUAGGGUGCGAGCGUUAAUCGGAAUUACUGGGCGUAAAGCGUGCGCAGGCGGUUAUGUAAGACAGAUGUGAAAUCCCCGGGCUCAACCUGGGAACUGCAUUAGUGACUGCAUAGCUGGAGUACGGCAGAGGGGGGAUGGAAUUCCGCGUGUAGCAGUGAAAUGCGUAGAUAUGCGGAGGACACCGAUGGCGAAUGCUAUCCCCUGGGCCUGUACUGACGCUCAUGCACGAAGCGUGGG
rnacentral:rRNA from 1 species